rnacentral:sRNA from 1 species
UUGAUAUCUAAAUUAUCAUAUUAAUUUUUUAUUAAUUAUUAUAGUUCACUUCUCAUCUUUAUAUGAUUCUAUUUUUGCGGAAAAAUAAUAUCAUCAUUAUAAAAAAAUAAUUAGAGUUUUUUCGCAUAUGCCAUAAUUUGAAUUUUUAAAAACAAAUAUAAACUGUUCCAUACAUGAAAAAAUAUUAUAACGGUGAAAAAAAAAUUUAAGAAAACUUUCUACUGAGUAACGGGUCAUAAUUUGAAAAAUUUAUAUUCAAUUUCAUACAUAUUAUAUUGAAAAUUUAUAAUU